GACGAACGCUGGCGGCGUGCUUAACACAUGCAAGUCGAACGGAAAGGCCCUGAUUUUGUGGGGUGCUCGAGUGGCGAACGGGUGAGUAACACGUGAGUAACCUGCGCUGGACUUUGGGAUAACUUCAGGAAACUGGGGCUAAUACCUGAUAGGAGCUCCUGCUGCAUGGUGGGGGUUGGAAAGUUUCGGCGGUUGGGGAUGGACUCGCGGCUUAUCAGCUUGUUGGUGGGGUAGUAGCUUACCGAGGCUUUGACGGGUAGCCGGCCUGGGAGGGUGACCGGCGACAUGAAUACUGAGAGACGGACCAGAGUCAUACGGGAGGCAGCAGUGGGGAAUAUUGCACAAUGGGCGGAAGCCUGAUGCAGCAACCCCCCGUGCGGGAUGACGGCCUUCGGGUUGGAAACCGCUUUCGCCUGUGACGAAGCGUGAGUGACGGUAAUGGGUAAAGAAGCACCGGCUAACUACGUG
rnacentral:rRNA from 1 species